rfam:Triticum aestivum genome assembly, contig: Triticum_aestivum_CS42_TGACv1_scaffold_641231_T_7BS-0.145979_1AL-0.128282
AUUCUACUCCCUCCGUUGCACAAUACAUGCCCUCUAUUUGUCAAAAUAUAUAUGUAUCUAGACAUGUUUUAGUAUAUAGGUACAUCCAUUUUCAGACAAAUGGAAGUCAAGUAUUUUGGAACGAAUGGAGUACACA